CAGGUGGCGCCUAUAAGCUUUGUUACGUGUCUGGCAGCACUGCACUCUGGCAGCGUGGUGGAAGACUGUACCACCAUUGGUCUGGCCACACUGAUCGCCAUGCGAAGUUGUUUACUUUCUGAUUGACACGUUUAUUGAACAUUUUAUUCUUUUUCCCGGGAUUUAUAAAUAGUGCUUGUGUUAAAAUAACAAUGGAUCUAUCAAUAGUACAUAGCUCACUCAGCUUACGCAUUUAAUCCAACUGCUGAUCUUAUAUAAGCCGCGGUGAACCACUACCAAAAUGUGGACUUCUGCAUUGGAGGUUAUGUUGCUGAAAAUGUGGGAUUUCAUAGGAUUCUCCGGCAACCAUGCAAACCACUUCACAACCGAAUCAUGGAGAAACCCAUUGGAUCCGCUGGUCAGCUGGAAUCUCUUAAAGGAUUAAACGGUGACCAUUCUCAUCAAUAUUAAUGAGCGUAUGACAGGCAGUCCGAAACCCUUUGGCACCUCAAGUUCCGAGAUUUCAGUCAGGCAAAGGAAACUCAGUCAAACAUGUGCACGCCUGCGAAAGGAAAUCAGACGAGGGUUGCGAAUGACACAGUGAAAUCAAAGUCAAA